rnacentral:lncRNA from 1 species
UUAUUUAAAGUUUUAUUUUAUUUCACACCAAUUUUAUUUGAUGUGUGAAUGUUCAUUAAAUUAUGCACUGUUUUCAGUGCAAAUUAUGUCUGUUUUCAGUAAAUAAUCCCAUCUUUAUUUGACCCUCUAACUCUAGCACUCUCUAUUCCAAUUCUAUUCUUGAAAAAAAAACACUAGCUUCUCUAUACUUUUUGUAUUCUAUCUCUUUGUUUUGUUUUUAUUUAUUAUACAAUUAACAAAAGCAAAAAAGGCCUCCAACACUAGCUUGCUCUAUUCUUUUUCUAUUCUAUCUGUUUUCUUUUUAUUAUCUAAUUUAAAAAAAAAUGCUACAUGUACUGUGUUAAACUAAUUGAGUCUUGUUAUAGCACUUUUGUUGAUUUUGAUUGCUUCCAUUGUCCUCAUUUGUAAGUCGCUUUGGAUAAAAGUGUCUACUAAAUGACUAAAUGUAAUGUAAAUAUAAUGUAAACAUCCCCUUAUUGAAUCAGAAAUGUGUUGUUGUAACUAACUAGUUUCAAUUUAAAAAUAAUAAUAAUAAUAAAAAAUGACAAAAACACAACAAAAUAAAUAAUAUAUAAUUAAAAACUUAAUAUAAAAAUAUAUAAAAAAUAUAAUAGUAUCUCAUUAAUACUAAAACAACACAGUACAAGCAGAAAGCUGCAGAUGAGUUUUUUCUCCUGCCCUCCAGCUGACCUCACAUCUGUUUCCAUGAGGAAUUGUGAGAUUUCAUAAAAUCCUCCAGCAAACAAACUCCCAGCAGAAAUAAACACAAAUGAGGGAAUAAUUACAACACGAGCAUGUGAUUCAGCGGCUUUCAUUGAGCGCUGCACACUCAAACACAACCUGGAGGAUUGUUUAACAAACAAAUAUUAUAGUUUCUGUCACAUAGCAAAGCGAUUAUCAGUCUUUACAGGUCUGAGAUAUGACACAAAAAACAAACAAAAGCAGAACGAGAGAGAGACAGAGAAACAUGAACAAAGCAGAAACCGUAAGACGAGUUGUGUGUUAAAAUAAGAGAAUCCCUACAGUAACAGCAGGCAUCAGGAGGGGAAUGUGAAGGCAAGGUUAGCAACGAUACUCCGUUACCAUCCAGUGUGGACAUACAGCAGCACGAGCUCGUACGUGACGACAGCUUUGGCUCAAACUGGAAACGCCGUCUAGUUUCUGAGAGUGUCUGAGAUCUGCUGAUCUGAAGCUCAAGCAAACGUCUCCUCUCACAGACUUUCACAUCCGUUUACACCGAUUCGCUGUAGUUUUGAGGAUCGAAAUAAAAGCCCUGCAUCUUCACUUUCCUUUUUCAUGAAUGCAGUAACAGUUUCUGAGGGAAUUUUGGUAACUGACACAUAAAGCCUUUAUAUCUAAAACACACACACACUGACUCUACCUGCUGUACAUGUUAAAUGUAGCACCCUACAGAAGGAACGCUCAUGUUGGUUUUCUCCAGGAUCAAGAAUAUCUAGCUAAAAACAAAAAACUCAACUGAACC